rnacentral:snoRNA from 1 species
AGCUUGCCAAUGAUGUCACAGAAUAAAUGUCUGAACAAAUGAGAUCACAGUGAUUUUCUUUUUUUAAAGAUCUUUACUGAGGCAAGCU